UGGCAGGUGGAGGAUCCACGUGUGGACAGCUCUGUGUCGGCCGGGAGGAGUCGUGGAGCCUGCUCGGGUAGACGACCAGGGUGGUGCGGUUCAACUCCACAGACAAGGACAGGAGCCCCGAGGGGGCCCGGUUCAGCGUCAGCGAGAACGUGUCAUGGGCAAAGUCCUUGGCCAGCAGCAGACGGCCACAGCGCACACCCAGGCUCCACACCUGGCCAUCGAAGGUCACCACGUGCCUGGCUCCGGCCACCACAGCGUGGUCUGGGAAGAAGCAAGCCCAGGACAGAACAGACAAAUCCAUGGAGCCCAAGGUGAUGGCUAAGGAACCGAGGAUGCUUGUGAGGUAAU